AGUGAACGCUGGCGGUAGGCCUAACACAUGCAAGUCGAACGGCAGCACAGUAAGAGCUUGCUCUUACGGGUGGCGAGUGGCGGACGGGUGAGGAAUACAUCGGAAUCUACUUUUUCGUGGGGGAUAACGUAGGGAAACUUACGCUAAUACCGCAUACGACCUACGGGUGAAAGCAGGGGAUCUUCGGACCUUGCGCGAUUGAAUGAGCCGAUGUCGGAUUAGCUAGUUGGCGGGGUAAAGGCCCACCAAGGCGACGAUCCGUAGCUGGUCUGAGAGGAUGAUCAGCCACACUGGAACUGAGACACGGUCCAGACUCCUACGGGAGGCAGCAGUGGGGAAUAUUGGACAAUGGGCGCAAGCCUGAUCCAGCCAUACCGCGUGGGUGAAGAAGGCCUUCGGGUUGUAAAGCCCUUUUGUUGGGAAAGAAAAGCAGCAGGUUAAUACCCCGCUAUUCUGACGGUACCAAAAGAAUAAGCACCGGCUAACUUCGU
rnacentral:rRNA from 1 species